CGCACGGGUGAGUAACACGUAUCCAACCUGCCGUCUACUCUUGGACAGCCUUCUGAAAGGAGGAUUAAUACAAGAUGGCAUCAUGAGUCCGCAUGUUCACAUGAUUAAAGGUAUUCCGGUAGACGAUGGGGAUGCGUCCCAUUAGAUAGUAGGCGGGGUAACGGCCCACCUAGUCUUCGAUGGAUAGGGGUUCUGAGAGGAAGGUCCCCCACAUUGGAACUGAGACACGGUCCAA
rnacentral:rRNA from 1 species